GUGCCACCAAAAUGCAAAGGCUUCAGAUAAUGGAGGAACUGCAGAAAAACCAUGGAUGAGACUAUAUGCCUUAGAGUGCAGUUAUAAAAACGAGAAAAGCCUGGGACAAUGGCUCUGAAUUAGGACGAGCCUGAAAGGCAUCCCGGUACCGUGCACCCUGUCCUCCAGCCCUACGGACAACAAAACCCGGUCCCUCUGCACCAGGAGGAGAGCGAGGCAAGAAAAGAAAGCAGAGGGAGGGCCGGCAGCGAGAGAAACCCAUCCUGAAUGCGCUAUCAGAUAAGUGUGGAGAAAAUGACAGAGCAAUGUGGCCCAUGAUGUAUUAGUCUCAUGGAUGCUCAGCCCAUGCCUCAUGCUGCCUUUAAUGCCCUUGCAGAGCAUCAGCAGGAUGCAAGCAAGGAUCAGCAGCAAGCAGGAGCAGCCAGCACCUCCCCUUGCCCUGAGGUCAGUUAUGCCAGCUGUUGUCUCCUGUCACUUAUGCACUAUUGUCUCUUGGAUUAGAUCAGCCUCCUUUCAACACUGUGACAUUCCUGUUUGAUGGGCAGUGUAACAACAAAUGCCAUGUGUGUACCUGAAACUCUUAUCAUAGAAUCACAGAUUCAUUAAGGUUGGGAAAUAUCUCUGAUAUUAGCAAGUUCAGCUGUCAACCCAUGCCUGCCACCAUGCUCAUGCCAACCUCUAUAGCCAUCAAACCAUGUCCCUCAGUCCUACAUCUCCAUGGUUCUUGAGUACCUCCAAGGAUGGGGACUACCCCAGCACUCUGAGCAGCAGAUGUUCUUAGCUCACAUUUGGCUUUGAAUUUUACUGUCCAUUUCACACUGAAGGUGGAUCUACAAGCUGCUCAGCAUCCAACCAGUAGUUCCAGGUGUUUGAGCAGCAGGAGUCACGUCUGCCUUUCAACCUUCUCCUGCUAAUGUGAGUGGAAGAUGCACUGUGCUGGAGAGGUUUUGGAGUCUUCUGAGUAGCUUUGCUAAUGGAAAACAUGAUUCCAGAGCCUGGAUCACAGUGUGAUGCAGGGAGAGCCAGCCCAUCUCAUUUCAUAGAAUUUUGGAAUGGCCUGAGUUGAGAACAGCCUCAAAGAUCAUCGUUCAACCCCACUUCCAUGGGCAGGGUUGCCAACCGCCUCAUCUCUGCCUGCAGCACCUGCUCUGAUUAUUUCUUUUCUUUUAAUCCUAACUGAGGGUCUUCAUUUGUGCUGACUGUGACUGGAGACUCAGAAUCAUACCAUUGCCAUUGAAACAAGUGGUGGCCAAUACAUGUGUGCCAUGCAUAGAGAGCAGGAGAGAAACACAAGACGUAGGGAAGCUUCACAUUGUAUGCAAGACUUAAGCUAGGCACCCAAAAUCUGCAGGUUCACUGCCUGCCUCUGUGCUUACUGCUUCUGGAGCCCAGCGAGGAUAAUAAUCAUGGUAGCAAAUAAGUUGUCAUCUGCAGGGCUAGACAAGGUCAGGAGAAUUUUGGUGAAAUGUUCUUUUCUGUGUUAUUUUCACUGCGAUCAAAAUGGCUAAAAAUAAGCAGGUUGACAUCCACUCUAUUUUUAUUUAGAUCUCAGUAAUUGAAACACAUGGACAAAAGUCCUGCGUUUGAUUUUCUUUCAUGUGGGAUUUACUCUUCCUUCCAAACACACACAACACACAAAUUAUAUGUGUGUAUGCAUGUGUUUGAAUAUGCGACCGUCCCAUUUAUAUUCUGUGUUUCGCUUAUUAAAAACAAAGUUUCAGUCGAAAUAAAACAUGUGCUGGACCAGCCAAUAAUUGUUAUUUAUUUAGCCAGAUGUCACCUCUUGGCGAAUGACUGUGCACUUUGGGGUUUAGUCAUAAAAAAAUAAUACAUUAAAACUGUGGAAUGUUCCCCAAAGUGGAAACUUUGGAUAGAUGGACACGAGGGAGGCUGCAGCCCUGGGCCCCUCCCUGUCCUCAGUGUUUCACUCACACCUCUUUCCUGGCUCGGUCCUGGACCACCCCAAGUCGGUCCCUCUGAGACGUGGCCAUGGGGACAGCUCAGUCCUGGGACUCCAUUUAGGGUGAGAUUGCAUCCAGCUGGGCUUGGUCACCUCCAGACCUGUCGACACUAUUUCAAACACU